rnacentral:lncRNA from 1 species
AGCUGCUUCCUCACUAUCCCUGCCCUUGCAGACACCCUUCAGGCUCCUUCAGCCUUACCUGUAUGCUUUCAAGGAAUGAAGCUGAACUGCAGGGUAAAGGAGCAUUUAUUCCCAGUGAGCAAAGAGAGGAAGCCUGAAAUUAAGGAUUUUCUCCAGCGAUAGCACUCCCCAGGUGGUAAACCCCACAUCUGUUUCCAGUAAACCUACUGGGAGUACAAAGCAAACAAAUGAAGAAACGUCAAGUGUGUGGUCUUCGGCUUUUCUGAACUUUUGCUGCGCCGCAUUCAAGUACAGUUUAGUGCGGCUGGAAAGAGAAAAGCUGACAAAGAGCAGAUGAGACCAAGAGGGAGACGGAGCUGUUUUAUCCUUCUUUUUUUGCAACAGACCAAGUUGGUAUUCCCCACCUGCUUAAG